UGGUGCCCCCGUGCUGCCUCUCCAUCUCUUUUAUAGCAACAACCAGCGUAUGCGUUCUCGGUUUUUCUCCGCGGCGCUUUCACCGCUCUCUCUCUCUCUCUCUCUCUCUCUCUCUCUCUCCUCCGCUUCUUCCUACAAAGCCGUGGGCGCUGCUCGCCGCGGCGGGUCUCUCUCGCGCGCGCAACAACAGCAGCCUCAAAACCCUAGCUGCCCUCGCGACCGGGUCAGGGCCUUCGAUUGGAUCGGCCAUUCGGUUCGUUCCUCCAGGAUAUUGUUGGUACUUGCAUUCCUCCGUCUGUUAUUCAAGAAAGCCAGUUUACACUGAGAGAACCUUGCUUUAUUUGGUUCAUUGGCCUUUUGUUUUGCCUGAGUGAAUGCAAUUGGAACCUUCUGGGUAGAAGCUGAAGCUUAGUUUGGAACUUCAUCAUACUGAUUUCAUACUCAGAAAGUGGCGAGAAAUGGAUCGUGAUGAUAUAGCUGGUUUCGUAAGUGGAGGUUGCAAGGCCUUCUGAGUUUUCUGACGAAGCAGAUGAUAAUAGAGUUAUGAUAUACAGAAGUCAGGCAACUGGUUCUUUUCAUUUACUAUUUGGUUGACGUUUGAAGUUUGUUAACUGGAAUGGACAAAGCAUCAUGUGGCCUUGGGUUUGGUGAUAGUAUCAACUCCUUAGACACGUCCCGUCAUUGGAGCACUGUUCAGCAUACUUCUGGGCUUAAAGCUACUACAAUUGACUAUUCAACGUAUUCCAGUUUUUCUAUUGCAAGCUCAAAAACACUAAAAAGGAAGCGAAGUGCUAUGGCAGGACCAGAAGGUACUGGAAACCCAUUACUUACUUUGGGUUUAGGGCACUCACCAAGUUCAUCUGACAAUAGCAAAGUUAGUUCUGCCACAGCUUAUGCAAUGUCUCCAUCUUCAUUGAAAGAGGCUGAUGAGGAGUCAUCAGCUGAUCUUGGCCUGAAUUUUGAGCUUUGCCUUGGCAAUGAUAUGGUACAUUGUCAAAAGAAAUCCCCUGUUGGUGCUGAGAAUUCACCAUUGACAAACUCUCAUAAAUUGGAUCUUCAGCUGAGUUUGUCUACUGGAUCACCUGAAUCAGCUGUCACCAACACAAAUAUGGUGUCACCGAUUAUUCACGGUGGCUUGGAGAUACCUGUUACCAACUGUUCACCAGCUAUUAUAGGGGAAGGAUCUGUACCCUGUACUUGGGUUUUCGAGAAGUCAGUGAUUUCAUCUUCGUAUGCCUCUGAAGCAACAUAUACCUUCCCAUUUUCGAAGGUACCCAAAACAGGGGAUGCUGCUAUGUCUUCUCCAGUCAUAUCGUCAACCUUGGUAACAAGUAUGAAAAGCCCAGUUGCCUGUACUUCUGGGUCAAUUAAUCCCCAACAACGCAACAGUAUCACUAAAAACUGUCAGUUUCCAGGAUGUGUUAAAGGAGCCAGAGGGGCAUCGGGGCAUUGCAUAGCCCAUGGCGGUGGUAGGAGAUGCCAAAAACCUGGUUGUCAGAAGGGUGCUGAAGGAAGGACCAUAUAUUGCAAGGCCCAUGGUGGAGGAAGGAGAUGCCAAUUUCUUGGAUGCACAAAGAGUGCCGAAGGGCGCACAGACCACUGUAUAGCUCAUGGUGGUGGUCGCCGCUGCAGUCAUGAUGGUUGUUCCCGGGCUGCACGUGGCAAAUCUGGCUUGUGCAUCAGGCAUGGAGGUGGCAAAAGAUGUCAGAAGGAGAACUGUAUCAGGAGCGCCGAAGGUCAUUCAGGCUUCUGCAUCUCUCAUGGGGGUGGGAGGCGUUGCCAAUUUCCAGAAUGCACGAAGGGUGCACAGGGAAGCACAAAGUUCUGCAAGGCGCAUGGUGGAGGAAAGCGAUGCACAUUCUCGGGUUGCAACAAAGGAGCUGAAGGCAGCACUCUCUUUUGCAAGGGCCACGGUGGAGGCAAGCGAUGCUUAUUUCAGGGUGGUGGUGUGUGCCCGAAGAGCGUGCAUGGCGGAACUCAAUACUGUGUUGCUCAUGGUGGUGGGAAGAGGUGUGCUAUUUCUGGUUGCACCAAGAGUGCUAGAGGGCGUACAGAGUACUGCGUGCGCCAUGGAGGUGGCAAGAGGUGCAAGUUUGAGGGCUGCGCGAAGAGUGCGCAGGGGAGCACCGAUUUCUGCAAGGCUCAUGGUGGAGGUAAGCGCUGCUCAUGGGGCCAGGUUGACUUGAACUUCGGUGUCGGCGCACCACAGUGUGAUAAGUUUGCUCGGAGCAAGACUGGUCUCUGUUCAGCUCACUGUGCUUUAGUCCAGGACCAUUGUGUCCGUGGUGGUACAUUAGGCGCUGCAACCUUCCAGUUCGCAACUGAUGCCAAAUUCGACGAGAUGGAAGUCACCCCAGUGAAGGGAGAUCCUCACGCGCAGGCAAGCAGCGACGACCAGUCUCAUCUCGGUGGUGCUCAUCCUCCUGCUGUACCGGCGAUCACCUCGGAUCGAUUUUCUGAAGGAAGAGUGCAUGGUGGUGGGCUACUGGCCUUACUUUCACGGGGUGGAAACCAUGCGAAUGCAGGUAACUCAAAGAAUGGCGCCCUUCUACCAUGAUGACAUGGGAGUGAGAUUCUCUUCAAGAAAUUGGUGGCUCGCAGUUUUGAUCUGUUUCCAAGAGUUUGUGCUGUGACGGACGGGAAAAACUAGUGUUUUCACAUUUCACCAGAUGUUCUUGUGAUGCUUGGAUUUGUUGUUAUGGCCCUCUCCCGUGUGCUAUAUAUAAAUAAGGAGCUCGUAGAGCGUGGAGUACCGGGCUUUCUGUCUUCCGUGCUAUUGUAGUUGAUGUCGUUGAACUGCCCUUCUGUCAGAAUUCAUGUAAUCUUGGUACUUCGUGUUUAUUUGUAUUGUCAGUGAUUUGCCUUGCUGCUUUGCUGUUGGAAAAUUGUCGUGUAUUUUUGUUGAUAGAUUAUAUAUAUUGCCUUUUCGUUGCAA